ACAAACUAAAAUUACGUUGUUUCGAGAGUGGAUUUGCAAUAGUUAUACUACGAACAUGUUUCCCGAGAGUGGAUUUGAAAUAGUUAAGCUACAUAGAUUCUCGAGAGUGAUUUCAAAAUAGUUAAAAU